rnacentral:rRNA from 1 species
GAAAUAGUUUAGUGGCGGACGGGUGAGUAACACGUGAGGAUCUGGCUUUAGGUUCGGGACAACCACUGGAAACGGUGGCUAAUACCGGAUGUGCCGAAAGGUAAAAGGUUAACCGCCUGAAGAUGAGCUCGCGUCUGAUUAGCUAGUUGGUGUGGUAAAAGCGCACCAAGGCGACGAUCAGUAGCUGGUCUGAGAGGAUGAUCAGCCACACUGGGACUGAGACACGGCCCAGACUCCUACGGGAGGCAGCAGUGGGGAAUUUUCCGCAAUGGGCGAAAGCCUGACGGAGCAAGACCGCGUGAGGGAGGAAGGCUCUUGGGUCGUAAACCUCUUUUCUCUGGGAAUAAGAAAGUGAAGGUACCAGAGGAAUCAGCAUCGGCUAACUCCGUGCCAGCAGCCGCGGUAAUACGGAGGAUGCAAGCGUUAUCCGGAAUGAUUGGGCGUAAAGAGUCCGUAGGUGGUUAUUCAAGUCGAUUGUUAAAGAGCAAAGCUUAACUUUGUAGAAGCAGUGGAAACUGAAUAACUAGAGAGAGGUAGGGGUAGAGGGAAUUCCCGGUGUAGCGGUGAAAUGCGUAGAGAUCGGGAAGAACACCAGUGGCGAAGGCGCUCUACUGGGCCUCAUCUGACACUGAGGGACGAAAGCUAGGGGAGCGAAAGGGAUUAGAUACCCCUGUAGUCCUAGCCGUA